rnacentral:rRNA from 1 species
CACGUAGGGUGCGAGCGUUGUCCGGAUUUACUGGGCGUAAAGGGCGCGUAGGCGGCCAGCACAAGUCAGUUGUGAAAUCUCCGAGCUUAACUCGGAAAGGUCAACUGAUACUGUGCGGCUAGAGUGCGGAAGGGGCAACUGGAAUUCUUGGUGUAGCGGUGAAAUGCGUAGAUAUCAAGAGGAACACCUGCGGCGAAGGCGGGUUGCUGGGCCGACACUGACGCUGAUGCGCGAAAGCUAGGGGAGCGAACGGG